GACGUAGGAUGCAAGCGUUGUCCGGAUUUAUUGGGCGUAAAGAGUUCGUAGGUGGUUCGUUAAGUCUGAUGUUAAAGACUGGGGCUCAACCCUGGAAGUGCAUUGGAUACUGGCGGACUUGAGUGUGGUAGAGGUAAGCGGAAUUCCUGGUGUAGCGGUGAAAUGCGCAGAUAUCAGGAGGAACACCGGUGGCGAAGGCGGGUCUCUGGGCCGAUACUGACGCUGAGGAGCGAAAGCGUGGGGAGCAAACAGG
rnacentral:rRNA from 1 species